rnacentral:rRNA from 1 species
AUUGAACGCUGGCGGCAGGCUUAACACAUGCAAGUCGAGCGGAGUGAUGGUGCUUGCACUAUCACUUAGCGGCGGACGGGUGAGUAAUGCUUAGGAAUCUGCCAUUUAGUGGGGGACAACAUUCCGAAAGGAAUGCUAAUACCGCAUACGUCCUACGGGAGAAAGCAGGGGAUCUUCGGACCUUGCGCUAAAUGAUGAGCCUAAGUCGGAUUAGCUAGUUGGUGGGGUAAAGGCCUACCAAGGCGACGAUCUGUAGCGGGUCUGAGAGGAUGAUCCGCCACACUGGGACUGAGACACGGCCCAGACUCCUACGGGAGGCAGCAGUGGGGAAUAUUGGACAAUGGGCGGAAGCCUGAUCCAGCCAUGCCGCGUGUGUGAAGAAGACCUUUUGGUUGUAAAGCACUUUAAGCGAGGAGGAGGCUCUCCUAGUUAAUACCUAGGAUGAGUGGACGUUACUCGCAGAAUAAGCACCGGCUAACUCUGUGCCAGCCGCCGCGGUAAUAC